CGGGAUUUGUAGGAAAAACCACAGAUUUCUAGAGAGUCGUCCACGGCAAGCAGAAUUGAUCUGUUGCCAAACCCCGGAGGCACAAGAACCAUGGUUGAGAGACUACUAAGUAAUAGGCAAGUUCUAUACAUACCUUGCAUCUCAAGUAUCAUAUUUAUCUCAUUAAUUUCAUAGGUAACCUUCUGAUCCUCUAAAUGGCUUCCAGCAGCUCGACGACAAGUCACCGAGAAUGCAUGGAAACGUUCAGCUGUGGGUUAGCUUCACAUGAGUUACUCUCCCCAACACAUGUCCUGCAAAAUUCACACGAUUACUUUGGUUCUUCAAACAUGGCCAACAAUAUUUCAAUGAAUGCUAUGAGCAACCAUCCUUUGUCCAUUUUACGAAGUCAUGGCAAGGAGACCUCCUACAUGUGAAGCAUUUGAGAGGAAGUUAUGAUUUCUUCAGAAAGGAGGUGGGAGGUAGCUGAGGUUGGACAUAUGUAGAUUUCUUGUCCUUCAAGCUUGUCCCUAUUCGUUGUUAGAGGGUUAAUGGAUUGUGUAUAUAUAAAAGCUCGUUCAUUCCGUACGUUUUGAAGGAUGGCGAGGAGAGUUGUUGCUCGGGCAUGGAGUGAACGACGAGGAAAAGGAAAGUGUAGGUAUAUAGUUCAUAUAUAAACUUAGUUGCAAAGUAUAUCAUAUACUGUAUAUAAAUAUGUUCAAUUGUUCAUUUCUUCCGGGGGUUAAUCUUCCUCGAAAUUUGUUACUCUAAAGUGCUUUGAGCUAUAGGAAAUGAGCGAGUUUCGAUAGAGGCUUGUGGGCGUUUGACCCUAUUUGAUCCUGCUGAGUGAUUCAACGAUAACUUUGAAAUGUAAGCAAGCCUUUACAGAUUCCAAACAAGACCCUGAAACUGUCAUUUGAGAAAUUUAUUACAUUUGGAAAAUGUAAUGGGGUUGUGUGAUUAUUGUCAAACUUAGGAUCUGCUUCAUGGUAUGGGUUCAGACGUUCAGUAGCAGAGAGAGAGAGAGAGAGAGAGUAAUGACUAAUGAAUGAAUGAAUGCAGAAGAGAGAGAGAGAGAAGAAGAAGGCAGAAGUUGUCUUGAAUAGUG
rnacentral:lncRNA from 1 species